UACAGAGGGUGCUAGCGUUCAUCGGAUUUACUGGGCGUAAAGCGUGUGUAGGCGGUUCGUUAAGUCGGGUGUGAAAUCCCUGGGCUCAACCCGGGAAUUGCAUUCGAUACUGGCGAGCUAGAGUACGGUAGAGGGCGGCGGAAUUCCGGGUGUAGCGGUGAAAUGCGUAGAUAUCCGGAGGAACACCGAUGGCGAAGGCAACCGCCUGGGCCUGUACUGACGCUGAGGAGCGAAAGCGGGGGGAGCGAACAGG
rnacentral:rRNA from 1 species